GUGGAUUAGAUACCCUGGUAGUCCACGCCGUAAACGAUGUCAACUAGCCGUUGGUGAGGUUAAACUCAUUAGUGGCGUAGCUAACGCGAUAAGUUGACCGCCUGGGGAGUACGGCCGCAAGGUUAAAACUCAAAGGAAUUGACGGGGGCCCGCACAAGCGGUGGAGUAUGUGGUUUAAUUCGAUGCAACGCGAAGAACCUUACCUGGUCUUGACAUCUAGCGAACUUUCCAGAGAUGGAUUGGUGCCUUCGGGAACGCUAAGACAGGUGCUGCACGGUUGUCGUCAACU
rnacentral:rRNA from 1 species